CAAUAGCGUAUAUUAAAGUUGUUGCAGUUAAAAAGCUCGUAGUUGGAUUUCUGGUGGGAGCGAUCGGUCUGGCGCUUAGCGCGAGUACUUGCAUCGUCUCCGGCCAUCCUUGGGGAGAGUCUGUCUGGCAUUAGGUUGUCGGGCAGGGGAUCCUCAUCGUUUACUGUGAAAAAAUUAGAGUGUUCAAAGCAGGCUUAUGCCGUUGAAUAUAUUAGCAUGGAAUAAUAAGAUAGGACUUUGGUACUAUUUUGUUGGUUUGCGCACCAAAGUAAUGAUUAAUAGGGACAGUUGGGGGUAUUCGUAUUCCGUUGUCAGAGGUGAAAUUCUUGGAUUUACGGAAGACGAACUACUGCGAAAGCCUUUACCAAGGAUGUUUUCAUUAA
rnacentral:rRNA from 1 species